GCACAUCUAUGAAAUGAGCUGCUUCAAUCCUACACAAAGUUAAUCCUUUUGGAAAAAACAGAAACUUCUCCAAAAUUUAUGCUGAGAUAAUGCGCCAAGGUCAAAGUGUCCUCAUGUUAAAUAAAAGAGGUGAAUGUUGGACACUUGACUCCUGGGACACCAGCAUUAAUGCCCACACUUAAAAUAUACAUUGUUGUGAGGAUUUAGAAUAAAGAGAAAGAAAAAAAAAAAAACCUCGAGCAUUUUGUGUAAUUCGAUAGCAUAUUCCUAUUCGUGGAUAUGGUUUCAAUAUAAAAAUUGUGGGGGAAAAAAAACUUGAGAGAAGUCUACUCCCACCCCUGGUCCUCCCUUCCUGUUCUCAGCCAGCCUUUGUUGUGUACUGGUGGACUGUGGUCAGGAUGGGUUGUGUGGCAUCGGGGGAGUAUGCAGUGCUGCCAGCUACUGGCAUAGGCCUCUCUGUGCAGGGGGCACAGCGCAAACACCCCCUAGAUAAAGGUGGGCAUGACGGCUUUCCCACAGCCUGCUCAGUAGAGUGUGUCAAUCUCUCAGAUGAAUCCCUGCCAACGCCUUUCCCUCUUAAAGGCACAAAUGAAUGUGGCUGUCAUUUGCAUGCAGGAACCAUGACUUAGUUGUCACUGCAUCCAGGAGCUGUUGAAGUGACCUAAUUUCAAGUCAUUUUUAAUUCAGAGAUGAUCUCUAACUAGGGGAAAUGCCAUCAUCGCUCCUUUCCCCGGCCACUUCGCCUUUACGUGAAAGCAAUGUUUGGACGUUUCUUCGCCUACUGGCUUUAUGAAGAAAAAGUUAAUCUACCAACCUGCUGGGUUCAGCUUCCUAAACCUUGCUUAUGCAAGGCUGCUUGAUCACCUCUCUCCUUCUCUGUCUCAUGCACACACAUGUAUGCACACAGGUACAUGCUUAUGUGGACUUUUAUGUGAUUUAAUCAACAUCUAAUCAUUCUUAGUGUUUUGUUUGCAAGUAAACAAAAUUCUUUAUGUACACAGACUCGUCGGAGGCCAGAAUAUUUUCUACUGGCAAGUCAUCGUCUUAUAUACAGAGAUUUCAUCAUUCCAUUUAUCAAAAAAACUCAGGCUUCUAGCAUUUUCCUUUUUGUUUAGGAACUAUGCUCUGAGCACUUGUCAGAAAUAGUGGAUCAAAGUCAGAGGUAGGUUUUCCACCCCAGGUGUGGCGCAUCCAGCACGUUCUCAGGUACGCCUCCAGUGGCCACACUGUCAUGGCGGCUCUGCCUUCCAACAUGGCUCCCUCCACUGCCCUGCCAACAAGAUCUCUCUGGGAAUGCAAAUGUUUUUUUUCUUUGUAUGUAUGAAAAUGCUGGGAGCCAUUAGCCAAGUAGGUGUGAAAAUUUCCUUGCCAGCGUACCCCAUGUUGCAGUGACAUUGAAUGUAGGUGACCUUGCUCAAGGACCAGGGCGGAUUAGGGUGUUCCCGGUUUAGGAUAAUCGGGUUUAGGGCGUUCCAGGUUUAAGAUUAUUCCUGCUGGGAAUAGGGCGUAUCCUGCUGCCUGAGUUCCCCUUGAGUUCUCACGGGAUUCAGACAGUAUUUUUUGGGAGACAGAAGCCCAGUGGUGGUGGAUUUGGGCAGAGAACGUGGAUUUCCCCAGAACGUGUUUGUAGACGGCUGGUGUGAGUUCGGGAAUAAAGAGUUGCUGUUUGAAUCUACAAGCUGUGUGGUGGCUCGUGAUUGUGUGCCCAGCCAGACUGUGGCAUGAAAAGGGCAAGUGCUCCUAGCAGCAGCCACAUACAUGGAAAAUUAUACAUUUGACCUGCUGAAACAUCUCUAUCAGUUUUAGAAUGGAAAAAGAUCUUCAGAGGACGCAUCAGGUACCAGGCAUCUGGCAUUUAGCCAAGAGCUUCCUUAAGCUGAGCUAUUGCCUUCAAUCCCGCCUGGCCAACUGGACCUGCUGGAAGUUGUGAGCUAGACCACAACUAGAAGGUUCCAGUUUCUCUCCAUCUCCAGAGUGAACAGCCAUGACUGACAGGAGGGGGAUGAGCAUGGAAUGGCUGACCCUUGACUGGUCCUGAGCUGCUCUCCUCCGCCAAGCCCUCCCGCCAUGAUGUUCUGCCUCACCUCAGGCCAGAGCUGUGGAGUUGGCCAAACAUGAACUGAAUCUCUGAGACCGUGAGCCCAAAUAAACUUUUCCUCCUCUA